ensembl:lncRNA SPAG5-AS1 SPAG5 antisense RNA 1
GUUGUCGAGCGUUUUCCGCUGACGGAGCCCUCACCUCAGACACCGGCGGUAGGGCUGGAUGCGGGCCCGGCCCAGGACCGGUCUUCUGUCCUCACACCGGGGAGGACCACGCAGGAAGGAGCUGAGUCAGAGAGACCGUGUGUAAUUUGCUCAGCGUCACACAGAUAGUAAACGGCAGAGCCGCUCUUCCUCCCUGUCCCGCCAGCUCCUGCCUUCUGCUGUCUUGGAUCUCCUAUGCACGGGAAACCUGUUGAAGACGAGGUCUCACUGUGUUGCUCAAGCUGUCCUGGAAGUCCUGGACUGAAGUGAUCCUCCCACCUCGGCCUCCCAAGGUGCUGGGAUUACAGGUGUGAGCCACCAUGCCCAGCCAAAACCUUGAUUUUUCUGUCACCCCCUCCACUGCACCCUGAGAAUCACUGCUGUAAGUAGACUACUGAAGAGAGUAUGUUGAAAAUGUUCUCAUUUGGUAAGAAGUAAUUCCAACUACAUUCACGUGAUUAUGGUCUCUAAACUAAUAUGACCUAGGAGAGAGACCCUAGUGACAUUAUGUUAACCAUUUCUUAAGGACCUUAAACCCUAGUGACAUUAUGUUAACCAUUUCUUAAGGACCUUAAACCCUAGUGACAUUAUGUUAACCAUUUCUUAAGGACCUUCGCCCACUGUGCUGCUGUGGCCACAAAAGCCAUAUAAUGUUGGGUGACCUGAAUAUCAAUUAACACAGUAUUAUAAAAUCCUCUGCAUCUGCACUUUGAAAAAGCAUCACAGGGCUGGGAGCAGUGGCUCACGCCUGUAAUCCCAGCACUUUGGAAGGCCAAGACGAGUGAAUUACCUGAGGUCAGGAGUUUGAGACCGGCCUGGUCAACAUGGUGAC